rnacentral:misc_RNA from 1 species
GAUGAAGAACGCAGCGAAAUGCGAUAAGUAAUGUGAAUUGCAGAAUUCAGUGAAUCAUCGAAUCUUUGAACGCACCUUGCGCCCUUUGGCCAUUCCGAAGGGCAUGCCUGUUUGAGUAUCAUGAACACCUCAACUCCUCGUGGCUUGCCAUGAUGAGCUUGGACAUUGGGGGUCUUGCUGGCCUGUGGUCGGCUCCUCUCAAAUGAAUCAGCUUGCCAGUGUUUGGUGGCAUCACGGGUGUGAUAACUAUCUACGCUUGUGGUUUCCCACCAGGUAACCUUCAGUGACGGAGGUUCGCUGGGGCUCACAAAUGUCUCUCCUCAGGUGAAGACAGCUCUUUGAACGUUUGAUCUCAAAUCAGGUAGGACUACCCGCUGAACUUAAGCAUAUCAAUAAGCGGAGGA